rnacentral:rRNA from 1 species
AGAGUUUGAUCAUGGCUCAGAUUGAACGCUGGCGGCAGGCCUAACACAUGCAAGUCGAGCGGUAGCACAGAGAGCUUGCUCUCGGGUGACGAGCGGCGGACGGGUGAGUAAUGUCUGGGAAACUGCCUGAUGGAGGGGGAUAACUACUGGAAACGGUAGCUAAUACCGCAUAAUGUCGCAAGACCAAAGUGGGGGACCUUCGGGCCUCAUGCCAUCAGAUGUGCCCAGAUGGGAUUAGCUAGUAGGUGGGGUAACGGCUCACCUAGGCGACGAUCCCUAGCUGGUCUGAGAGGAUGACCAGCCACACUGGAACUGAGACACGGUCCAGACUCCUACGGGAGGCAGCAGUGGGGAAUAUUGCACAAUGGGCGCAAGCCUGAUGCAGCCAUGCCGCGUGUGUGAAGAAGGCCUUCGGGUUGUAAAGCACUUUCAGCGGGGAGGAAGGCGGUAAGGUUAAUAACCUCAUCGAUUGACGUUACCCGCAGAAGAAGCACCGGCUAACUCCGUGCCAGCAGCCGCGGUAAUACGGAGGGUGCAAGCGUUAAUCGGAAUUACUGGGCGUAAAGCGCACGCAGGCGGUCUGUCAAGUCGGAUGUGAAAUCCCCGGGCUCAACCUGGGAACUGCAUUCGAAACUGGCAGGCUAGAGUCUUGUAGAGGGGGGUAGAAUUCCAGGUGUAGCGGUGAAAUGCGUAGAGAUCUGGAGGAAUACCGGUGGCGAAGGCGGCCCCCUGGACAAAGACUGACGCUCAGGUGCGAAAGCGUGGGGAGCAAACAGGAUUAGAUACCCUGGUAGUCCACGCCGUAAACGAUGUCGAUUUGGAGGUUGUGCCCUUGAGGCGUGGCUUCCGGAGCUAACGCGUUAAAUCGACCGCCUGGGGAGUACGGCCGCAAGGUUAAAACUCAAAUGAAUUGACGGGGGCCCGCACAAGCGGUGGAGCAUGUGGUUUAAUUCGAUGCAACGCGAAGAACCUUACCUGGUCUUGACAUCCACAGAACUUUCCAGAGAUGGAUUGGUGCCUUCGGGAACUGUGAGACAGGUGCUGCAUGGCUGUCGUCAGCUCGUGUUGUGAAAUGUUGGGUUAAGUCCCGCAACGAGCGCAACCCUUAUCCUUUGUUGCCAGCGGUUAGGCCGGGAACUCAAAGGAGACUGCCAGUGAUAAACUGGAGGAAGGUGGGGAUGACGUCAAGUCAUCAUGGCCCUUACGACCAGGGCUACACACGUGCUACAAUGGCAUAUACAAAGAGAAGCGACCUCGCGAGAGCAAGCGGACCUCAUAAAGUAUGUCGUAGUCCGGAUUGGAGUCUGCAACUCGACUCCAUGAAGUCGGAAUCGCUAGUAAUCGUAGAUCAGAAUGCUACGGUGAAUACGUUCCCGGGCCUUGUACACACCGCCCGUCACACCAUGGGAGUGGGUUGCAAAAGAAGUAGGUAGCUUAACCUUCGGGAGGGCGCUUACCACUUUGUGAUUCAUGACUGGGGUGAAGUCGUAACAAGGUAACCGUAGGGGAACCUGCGGUUG